CGGGACGGGUGAGUAAUGUCUGGGAAACUGCCCGAUGGAGGGGGAUAACUACUGGAAACGGUAGCUAAUACCGCAUAACGUCGCAAGACCAAAGAGGGGGACCUUCGGGCCUCUUGCCAUCGGAUGUGCCCAGAUGGGAUUAGCUAGCAGGUGGGGUAACGGCUCACCUAGGCGACGAUCCCUAGCUGGUCUGAGAGGAUGACCAGCCACACUGGAACUGAGACACGGUCCAG
rnacentral:rRNA from 1 species